rnacentral:lncRNA from 1 species
GGUGUCUCUGCAGAGCCGGAGAGCCCUGCAGCUGCAGUUCUACGCGUGUAAAACUGCAGGAGGCGGAGUCUCGAAAUCAUGUAACCGCCCCCUUUUUUUACUCCUCUUCGUUUUCGUGUUCUUUGGAGAAGAGUUGUCAAUAGUAUGCAAUGGUCUGUAGCGGAGUUUGUUGAUCGAACCGUGAGUAUUAAAUGUGAAUCCACAAUUUAUUUAGCGUCUCCAAAAUCGUUCACUUGAUUUGAAUGAGAAAUGAAUGUGUGGUUGUGCGGACGUUAAUGAUAUUUACCAUGAUAGUCUGGAAGACACGUCGAAUAUUUAUCUUGGUUAAGCCAGCUAAAGCUAUUGUUAGCUUGUCGGAAUUGUAUAACCCGUAGACGACAAGCCGCCAUUAUAUUUACUGAGACUGAAGUACGCUGACAAAUAAUUUUAGCAUGUGUAUCAGAUUGAACAUAAAAAAUGUAUAAACAGUUUAGGCUUUCUGAACCGAGAUGUCCCAUACAUGUUGGAAAUGUACGUAUGCAUUUUUUCGUAUAUUAUAUCAGGUAUUUCUUAGUAUAUCAUUUAUCAUUUAAUUAAUUAUUUUCAAUUGUAUGCAUAUCAUAUGUAAUUGACAUUUAGUCCACAUUGCUGUUUAUCGCGCUGCAGAAGAGAAACUACUUGUUGAUGUCAUUCUGCAGUCCACAGGAGCUGAGCAGCAUUUGGUGGUACUUUGUUCACACACCAUACAAAAUAACUCACAGCAGAGCUUCGGUUUGGUGAUUUGCCUUUUCUAAUUACCACAUGAUUGUUCUCUGUUUUGUCUUUGUUUGUCCACAGGAUGUACUUCAAGGGAAGCCCUCACACUGGAUAAGACUGGAGUCGUCAGUCAAGGUGCCUGUGUACCUUGACAGCAGUGACAACCAGGACCGUCUUUUUAAUUUUUUGUUUUCAGUGCUGCAGAGAACAAACACACAACUGUCCUUCAGUAAUCCCAUCAAGUUCAUCAUGGAUGUUCUUUUUCCAGAGGUAUUUCGAGCCCAGUUCUUUUUGUUUUCCAUCACAGUUUUUUCUUUCAGGUUUUUCAGUUUCAAAUAUUAAUUUACCCAGCAGUGAUUAUUUUCAUUUCCUAUUGUAGUGAAGUGGAAGAAUUCUGUCGGUCAAUUGAAAAGAAAAUGAAGAGGGAAGGAAACCUCUGAAUGGUAUGUAGAGCUGUUACAUACUUCACAAUCUGGGCUUUAAAUAUCUAAGUCAAAUGUCAAACAUUUUAUUUCUAUCAUGUAUCUUUCUUUCAGGACUCAUCCAUCCUGAUAAUUCACAUGAGGCUGCACAAGUCCUGCAACAAAAUCCUCAAUUUGUUAAUAAAAAAAUAUGUUUACUACAAGAUGUGUUGUUUGUUUCUGAAGUGAUUAUGGUAUGUUUUAGACCAAUUUUACAAGGUUCAGCAUGCUUCUAUGAUAUUAGGACAACAUCAUGACUCCAUUCAAUGCUAUAGAAAGAUAAUUAACUACUCUAAUAAUGAGAGAAAAGAACUUGCCCCCAUCAAGGGACUUCAAACCUGCAUUCCAUAUGAAUUUAGACUCUUGUGAUGGUUGUCUCCCAUUUCCUGAUGCUGCUUUUCAGACAUGGCUCCAUCUUCCUCCUGUUUCUCCCAACAACCACUCAAGUCACAAAGAACUGCUCUUUACCUUAAGAUUAAAACACUUAGCCACUUUGACAAAAGGCUAAUUCUUGGUGGCUUUAUGAUCAAAGGCUUCUCCAUGGCGACAGCCUUUUUGCACAGCUUUGUUCUUGAUAGAAGACAUUUUUUUGUAUACGUUAAGAGCCAAUCAUAUUUUUUUGUUGAUCACCACAAAGAAUUACCUGGAAUGACAAUACUAUGAAAUUUUCACUCAAAGGGGUCAAAUUGUCAUCAAAUGUAAUGAAUAAAUAAUAAAAAGGCAAAGCCGGUCCCUACAGGGCUUCAAGCACUGCACAGCUUGCUUUGGCUCGGGCAUUUAAAACACUGGGUCCAGAAAUAAAUAUUUUUUUAUUACAUUGAAAUUAGAUUACUCCUAACUGUUUUGGAUGGAAUAAACCUAAAUUCUACAAGGUGUUUUGGGUUAACCAAACCUUAAAUACUGACUGUCAGCUCAUAUUCCGUUUUUUUUUCCAGCAAAAUAACACAUUUUAUCCAUGUAAAGAAGUCCAAUUACUGAACUGCAGCACCUGCAUUAGCACUGACCUACCAGCAUGGGGCGCUAUCACGUGUAGAACUGCAGCAUCUGCAUUAGCACUGACCUACCAG